GCUCUCACCUUAAGUACAUAUACUAAAGUUGGAACGGUACAGAGAAGAUAAGCAUAGCCCCUGUGCAAAGAUGAUGUACAAAUGCAUGAAGCAUUCCAUAUUUAU
ensembl:snRNA U6 U6 spliceosomal RNA